UCAGUCCGUUGUUGACCGUCGAGAAAAUUGGACGUAAUUCGGUUCAGGUGGGGAGCUCUCGCGCGGAAUCGAAAUCGGAAUCGCAGCAAGCCAUUGAAAUUUCCUUCCAUUCAGUGACAGCUGAGUGGGAAACUUAACCUUCAAGGCUCUUCGACAAAUAUUUUUGGACGACAACGGGAGGAAGUUGAUUUUUUUGGCAACCAACAAGGACAUCAUCGUACAUAUUUGAUUUGCAAACGCGUCGAAGCAGAAGAAAAGCGCAGUUUUUCCUUUGAGGCGUUCUUUCUCCAAGCUAUUGUGUGCCAUUUGGUGAGUUCAGUGCAGUGUGUGGCUUUUUGCGGCGGAUUCACCAUCAUCAUUCAGUGUGGGAAAAACGGGUGGAAAGGGAAAACCAAAAGUGCUGGGCUUGGUAGGAUUGAAGUAACGCUGUUCAGAAUCGAAUAAUACAAUUUUUGUUGGGAGGAGGAAUAUCGAUUCGGUAAAGACAAAAAGGCAAAAGCAGUCAGCAGUGGGAAUUUCUUGUUCGGAGCUGCAGUCACGGUUGGCGAUAAGGAAGCCACAUCAAUCGUUCGGCUUGGAACUACGAGGACUCGGUUAUCAAAGAGUCAAUAAGCGGAGGGGGAUUCUCGCCCACCCAAAGGACCACCCGCAAUCAGUAAGUGAGUGAUUGUGACCCCCCUCCCUGGCGGAGAAAUGGCUGGCUUUGCGUCCCAAGCGGCGCUUCGCUCCAAGUGGGGUGACCUGGUAGACAGUGGUUCGACCGGUAUCGAAACAUCGGAGGUGUCACAAGGAUUCAAAAAUGUCGUCGGAUGGCUCAAACAGGCAUCGGUGGAAGUGCGGGAAGCAGGCAAGCGAGCCGUAACACAGCUUCAGACCACCACUACACCGCACCUGAGGCACCUCAACCCGGGAACACUGAUUAAGCAGGGCAUACCGGUGAAUGAGCGAACAGCAGACGGAGACAGCAGCAUGAACAGCACGACGGCCAGCAACGACAGCCACAGCAAGUUGACCAUCCUGCACUACAACGAUGUGUACAACAUUGAUGCCACCUGCAAGCAGGAACCGAUCGGUGGAGCCGCUCGGUUUUGCACGGCGGUCAAAGCGUUCGACCACCUGAACCCGCUGGUGCUGUUCAGCGGGGAUGCUUUUUCGCCCAGCAUGCUGAGUACCUUCACACGAGGGGAGCAGAUGGUCCCGGUGCUGAAUUCUGUCGGAACGCAUUGCGCUGUGUUCGGAAAUCACGAUUUUGAUCACGGCCUGGACGUGCUGGCCGAGUGGGUCGAAAAGACUACGUUCCCCUGGCUGAUGUCCAACGUGGUAGACAACGAAACGGGUCGUCCGCUGGGUGGCGGAAAGAUCACACACAUUCUGCACCACAAUGACGUGAAAAUCGGUCUCAUCGGACUGGUGGAGAAGGAGUGGCUCGACACGCUGCCCACGAUCGAUCCCAACGAGGUGACGUACAUAGAUUUCAUCAAAGCCGGCAACCAGCUGGCGGACGAACUGCACAAUCAAGGAUGUGAUAUCAUCAUUGCGUUGACGCACAUGCGGACUCCCAACGACAUUGAACUGGCCAAGCAGAGUGGGCAUAUUGAUCUGAUCUUGGGAGGGCACGAUCACGUGUUUGAAAUACUCAAUAUUGAAGACACACAUGUGAUUAAAUCGGGAACGGAUUUCCGACAGUUCUCGAGGAUCGGUAUCAAUACCGAGCGGAAUGAGAAUGACAAGAUUAGCAUCACGGUCGAGAAGGUCGAUGUGAUUUCAACAAAGUACAACGAAGAUCCCGAGCUAAGAGAAGAACUGAAGAAGUACUCAGAAACGAUCGAGUCCAAAAUGGAUGAGAUCUUGGGUGUGUUUCAUGUCGACUUGGAUGGUCGAUUUUCCUCCAUCCGAACGUCGGAAACAAACUUGGGUAACUGGAUUUGUGAUGUAGCGCUGGCAGCAACCGGAGCUGAUGCGGUUAUGAUCAACUCAGGAACAUUCCGAUCUGAUCAGAUCCACGGGGCAGGUCCGUUUACGAUGCGUGACUUGGUUAACAUCAUCCCCAUGCAGGAUCCACUAAUAGUGCUAGAAGUUACGGGUAAAGUAUUGCACGAAGCGUUGGAAAACUCCGUAUCCACCUAUCCCAAGUUGGAAGGUCGGUUCCCACAAAUAGCUGGUAUGUCAUUUGCAUUUGACCCGACGCAACCGCCGGGGCGACGCGUGGAAGCUAGAUUGGUACGAAUUGGCGACGAAUGGCUCAAACUAGAUCAAACGUACACACUGUGCGUGAAAAGUUACAUCCACGGAGGAUGCGACGGCUACACCAUGUUCAAGGGAUGCAAAGUGCUCAUGGACGACGAUGCCGCCCCGGAGCUGGGUUUGGCAAUUCAAAACCACUUCAAGGCGAUCGAUGUCCGGAUGGGAAAGGCACAUCACACCAAGCACCGGCAGUCACUGGUGACGCUAUCGCGGCGACACAGCAUGGUGCAGAUGUUGGAGAAUCUCGAGCUCGAUGGUCCAACGCCGAUCCGGCGGAAAUCGACCGUCACGCAACCGAUGCGGCACGCAAGCAUGGAACACGUCAACCGAGGAAAGCUACUCCGACGAGCAUCGCUCGACGAUUUGGAGCAAAGUAGUUGUCAACUAUCGCCAAGCAUUCAACACCGGAUAGUGGUAGUACAGAACCAAGAACACAUUCACGAGAUGAUCCUGCGACGAGAAACAAUGGAAGCGAACUGCGUCAUCAAAGAAACCGACGAGCUAACUCCGUAAGUGUUGGAUCGAGUUGGCUCGCCUGACGACGUGUGGUGUGUGCUAUUCAUUGAAACCCGAACCGUUCUGUACGACGGCUCGUUUUUACACUAUUCAAUUUCACCAGCAGCGCUCUCUUUUGCAUACCAGCAACAAUAUUUAUUGCCUAUCAUCAUUAUCAUACCGCAGUAUCAUCGAGCACCAUUUCAGCCUGCGUAACCAUGAACGGAUUCUACAACUACAAUGGAACCUCCCCAAACGUGAACCAGUCACCUCAUCCUUCCUCCUACGUUCCCAAUUGACAACAAAAACGGUUUGUUUCAAUCACCGCAUCUUUGUGCCUCGAAGCAACUUCCCCUCUCAGAAAUUUGUUGUUCAGAUUUCAAUCAUUGUACAUAGAAAUCCGCAGCAUUCAUCCCUCAAUAUAUUGUUACAGUUAUAAAUAUUUAAUGGAAAUAUAUAAAUUUAUGGUGGCAGUUCAAUGUCGCCUUGUUGUGUACUCCCGUUUUUACUCUAUAAAUACUACACGAAAUGAUACUCAAAAGUAUGUUUUCUAUUCUCCAUCAGUUAAAAACCGCAAAUGUUGUCACAAGGAUACCGUUACUCUCUGUCAUAGUCUAUUGAGAUGUUCAAUUUAUAAUUCCGUAUUCAAAAUAACGCAACAGAACUCUAAAACAUCCCACUCCACUUAGAUAUGUGUUAAAUAAUAAACAAUUUAUGAGAAAAAAAACUGUCAUCGUUAGAAACGAAAAAUAGGUCAGUCAAACUAACUAUGGUCCCGUACUGUGAACGUGUAUGUGUGUGCAUAGCGCUGCUAGGAAGUUGUAGAGAACAGGACCAGAGAGCUACGCAAUGCAUAGUGGAACCUGAUUGGCAACCAAUCGAGGUUGCAUGGUAUGUGAAGGGUCAUACGAUUCAUUGGAUAUCUGUGAAACUCAAAUGGAUGUAUUGAGAGAAGAAAAUACAUUUUAACUAGCAUGAA